rnacentral:rRNA from 1 species
AUGAUAGAUUUGUUUGGCCUGCCACCUCUUUUGGUUAAUGAAACUAUUUUAACUUUUGAACACGUGAUGCAAAGGCUUGUAAUUAUUGAAAAUAAAGUUGCCACUGUGGAGUUGAUUGAAAAUUUGGAUAAAAAGAUCCGCAACCAAAUUACUCAAUAUGGAUCUAAGGUAGGAGUUACUCUGAGUUUUUUUAAAGAAAAAGAACCCAUAGUUAAUGAAAGCAUAGAUCAAGAUUCCACUAGAAUUGGUAAACUUGAGGAUAUCAUUACCAACUUAGGGCCUGCUUUUUCUGCCGUGAGAAAUACUUCAAAUCCUCCUACUACCAGAGUUGCCAAAUUUAUGUAUGUUCCUAAAAAUAAGGGUGAAUCUUCUAGUAAGGAAACUGCGGAUCUCAAAUCAAUAAGUGUUCACCCCAAUUUCUUCGCUAUUAUUAAGGAACCUUUUGCUACAAAUGAAUUUCUUAAUUUCUUGCCUAGGAGUUUGAUAAUUAGUAAAAAUAAGGAAACUACUAAGGGUUAUAAGUGUUCAAUUGAAGAAUUGCCAACCAAGUAUGAUAAUACCUAG